rnacentral:SRP_RNA from 10 species
GCACUGCAGGUUGGAAAUAGAGCAAUGAACAGACCGCACGGAAGAGCGUAUGCAGGUCACGUAGG